UACGGGGGGGGCAAGCGUUGUUCGGAAUUAUUGGGCGUAAAGAGCUCGUAGGCGGUUCGCUAAGUCGGGUGUGAAACCUCCAGGCUCAACCUGGAGACGCCACCUGAUACUGGUGUGACUAGAGUCCGGUAGGGGAGUGUGGAACUCCUGGUGUAGCGGUGAAAUGCGCAGAUAUCAGGAAGAACACCAGCGGCGAAGGCGGCACUCUGGGCCGGUACUGACGCUGAGGAGCGAAAGCGUGGGUAGCAAACAGG
rnacentral:rRNA from 1 species